AUGGAUUUACAGAGGGUUGAUGCUGGUAGUUUAUCUGCAUGUGCUCACUCUUCUGAUUUAUUUACACCUGUGCACUUCAUUUUUUCAAAGGUCAGGGUAGAACUUGCCUUUGGAACUUAUAAACCCCCUAUAUUGGAAUAGUGAAUGUUUAUCUGCCACAGGCAAAUUUUAAUA
rnacentral:misc_RNA from 1 species